AGAGCAGAGUGAGCUGCGGUCAUGAUUGAAGGCAGGGAUGCUAGCAGCAAGGACCCCAAAGAAUUAUCAGCAUUGGGGCCCAAACUUCCCCCCAGGCUGGGGGAAACUGGACUUCCUGACAUCAACUAACCAGGCGACAUCCUGGAUAGGCCUCUUCAAAGAUGGCCAAGGAAGUGCCCACAGGUGGAUGGAUGGCUCAGCCCCCACCUACAUGAAACGGCAGCUCAUAGACAUUAAGACCGUAGUCAAACAGAUACAAGUGGCAGAGCUGGAAUUUGAAUGGGGUCUGUCUGGUUUCAAGCGGAAUGGACCUUGGAGAAGGGGAGAAGCCCAGAGGGAUGGGGCAGUCGGAUGGUGGCCCAGGAGCUGGAAGACUUUCAGCUUUUCUGAAGACUGUGGCC
rnacentral:lncRNA from 1 species